rnacentral:rRNA from 1 species
GACGAACGCUGGCGGCGUGCUUAACACAUGCAAGUCGAACGGAAAGGCCCUGCUUUUGUUGGUUUCUCUAUUGGCGAACGGGUGUGUAACACGUGAUUAACCUGCCCUUUACUUUGUUAUAACUUCAGGAAACUGGUUCUAAUACCGGAUAUGAGCUCCUGCUGCAUGUUUGGGGUUGGAAAGUUUCGGCGGUUGGGGAUGGACUCGCGGCUUAUCAGCUUGUUGGUGGGGUAGUGGCUUACCAAGGCUUUGACGGGUAGCCGGCCUGAGAGGGUGACCGGCAAAAAUGGGACUGAGAUACGGACCAGAGUGGUACGGGAGGCAGCAGGGGGGAAUAUUGCACAAUGGGAGGAAGCAUGAGGAAGAAAAGCCGCGUGAGGGAUGAAGGACUUCGGGUUGUAAACCGAUUUAGAAUGUGACGAAGAGUGAGUGACGGUAAUGGGUAAAGAAGCAACGGCUAACUACGUG